UACUUGAAAGCGAAUAUUUGCGCUAAGUUUCGGCCUUAGUUUUGAGAUUUAUUUCUCUCAAGUAG
rnacentral:tRNA from 1 species